CCUCUGCGUUACAUUCUGAGCUUUGGAGCAGGGAGAGUGGGGGGGUGUUUGGGAGUGGUAUCUUGCCUGAUACACCUUAAAAGCAACAUCUGUAGUGUCCCCACUGGACUGUACCAGGAAUGAGGCAGGACGUUUCUCCUGGGGACUGGGGAACUCUUCCGCAUGACAGAACUAUCUUUGAAAAUCCAUCAUUUAUUUCUAGGUUGAUGUUUAAAUACACAUUUGAAGGGGCCAAGCAACUCUUGGCUGCAUCUGCCAGCAGCCAUCCUCUCUUCUGCUCAUCAACAUCUAUGAAAUUUUCCUGCUUAAUAAAACUUACCAAGCAUCCUA